AGAGUUUGAUCAUGGCUCAGGACGACGCUGCGGCGUGCCUAAUACAUGCAAGUCGAGCGAGCGGAACACAGAUUUACUUCGGUAAUGACGUUGGGAAAGCGAGCGGCGGAUGGGUGAGUAACACGUGGGGAACCUGCCCCUAAGUCUGGGAUACCAUUUGGAAACAGGUGCUAAUACCGGAUAAUAAAGCAGAUCGCAUGAUCAGCUUUUGAAAGGCGGCGUAAGCUGUCGCUAAGGGAUGGCCCCGCGGUGCAUUAGCUAGUUGGUAAGGUAACGGCUUACCAAGGCGACGAUGCAUAGCCGAGUUGAGAGACUGAUCGGCCACAUUGGGACUGAGACACGGCCCAAACUCCUACGGGAGGCAGCAGUAGGGAAUCUUCCACAAUGGACGCAAGUCUGAUGGAGCAACGCCGCGUGAGUGAAGAAGGUUUUCGGAUCGUAAAGCUCUGUUGCUGGUGAAGAAGGAUAGAGGUAGUAACUGGCCUUUAUUUGACGGUAAUCAACCAGAAAGUCACGGCUAACUACGUGCCAGCAGCCGCGGUAAUACGUAGGUGGCAAGCGUUGUCCGGAUUUAUUGGGCGUAAAGCGAGCGCAGGCGGAAAAAUAAGUCUAAUGUGAAAGCCCUCGGCUUAACCGAGGAACUGCAUCGGAAACUGUUUUUCUUGAGUGCAGAAGAGGAGAGUGGAACUCCAUGUGUAGCGGUGGAAUGCGUAGAUAUAUGGAAGAACACCAGUGGCGAAGGCGGCUCUCUGGUCUGCAACUGACGCUGAGGCUCGAAAGCAUGGGUAGCGAACAGGAUUAGAUACCCUGGUAGUCCAUGCCGUAAACGAUGAGUGCUAAGUGUUGGGAGGUUUCCGCCUCUCAGUGCUGCAGCUAACGCAUUAAGCACUCCGCCUGGGGAGUACGACCGCAAGGUUGAAACUCAAAGGAAUUGACGG
rnacentral:rRNA from 1 species